GGACCUGCGGAAGGAUCAUUA
rnacentral:rRNA from 2 species